AGUGAACGCUGGCGGUAGGCCUAACACAUGCAAGUCGAACGGCAGCACAGGAGAGCUUGCUCUCUGGGUGGCGAGUGGCGGACGGGUGAGGAAUACAUCGGAAUCUACUCUGUCGUGGGGGAUAACGUAGGGAAACUUACGCUAAUACCGCAUACGACCUACGGGUGAAAGCAGGGGACCUUCGGGCCUUGCGCGAUUGAAUGAGCCGAUGUCGGAUUAGCUAGUUGGCGGGGUAAAGGCCCACCAAGGCGACGGUCCGUAGCUGGUCUGAGAGGAUGAGCAGCCACACUGGAACUGAGACACGGUCCAGACUCCUACGGGAGGCAGCAGGGGGGAAUAUUGGACAAUGGGCGCAAGCCUGAUCCAGCCAUACCGCGUGGGUGAAGAAGGCCUUCGGGUUGCAAAGCCCUUUUGUUGGGAAAGAAAUCCAGCUGGCUAAUACCCGGUUGGGAUGACGGUACCCAAAGAAUAAGCACCGGCUAACUUCGUGCCAGCCGCCGCGGUAA
rnacentral:rRNA from 1 species